rnacentral:lncRNA from 1 species
UGCAUAUCAAAUAAAGCAAGAAAGAAGUACUUCAAAGUAAAGGUGAGCUUAUGCUCAUUACAACAUUUGCAUAAUACAAAUUACUUUAAAGUAAAGAAGAGCUUAAGCCCUUUUACAACAUUUGAUCAAAUCAAAUUACAACCAAAAUCUAAUCUACACAUUCCCAUGGUUCAAACAAAUUUGAAACGGCCUUUCACAUAGCUCAAUUAUAUUAGGCUUAGGUUCAUAAUCACCCUUUAAUUAAUUAACGCUUUAACUAAUUAAAUUGAAUGCAACAUUUUCAUUUGGUUUUUGUAUCCAUAAAAUUGAUUUAAAUGGAGCUAAAUGAAAUGAAAAUCCAAUUCUCAUUUAAAGAGACAAAACAAUUUUGUUCUCUACCUAAUUUGGGCCAAAAUGCAAUUACCACAACCUUUGGGCAAUAUUGCAUAAACAUAAACUUUUGGGGUCACUUUGUAAGAACACAAAAGUCCACUACUUCAUGUAAUUACACUAGAACCCAAAAUUUAAACAAUGCAAAAACUUCAUUAAAGGAGCAAAACAAUUUGUCCUUUAGCGUUUAUGGACCUAAAUGUAAAAACGUAAACGUUUGGGCCAAAGUGCAAAUACACAAAAGUACCCUAUAAUGUAGGGUGGCCGGUUUUGGGAGAGGAAAGGAGUGAUGUGUGUGUUGAUUUGUGAGUUUUGACAUAAAGCAAUCAAGUGGUGCAAGUGGUGUGUGUGAAAGGAAAUUAAUCCUUACACACCCACCAAUAUUUCUUACACCAUUUAAACAAAUAUCUAAAACAUUUAAACAUUUGAAAAUUCAUAAAACAUAAACUUUAUGAAAUAAAUCAAAACUUUGAAUCAAAACACAAACCUUUUUGUUCUUGGCAAAAAUGUCAAGAACAAUGAAGAACACUCAUGAAAAAACCCAAAAUUUUUCCAUGAACAUUUUUUCACCCAAAACCAUUCAAACUUUAGGGAAAUAACAUAUAACCAAACUAGGGUACAUAGGGGUUCCAAAAGUCACUUGAAAACACUUUUAACAAGUCAAACAAGAACCCAAAAUUUCACCCUAUGUAUUUGGCCGAAAAUCCCCAAAAUCAUGGCACCAAAUUUUAGCUCCAAUAUUCAUGCUCAUAAGAACUACAUCUACAACAUUUGAGAUGGCAAAUUUUCUAACAAAAUUUACAUUCAAAGAAACAAGAAUAUAGCUUGUAACAUAUUACAACUUUUAAAUCACAAACUAUGAACUACAAAACCCAAAAGGAUUCACCAACUACUAGACCUAGGCUCUGAUACCACUUGAAGGAUUAUUUUAUGAAAACAUGUUCAUUUAAGCAACAUCUAUAAGCAUGCAAUUAACAAUUAAAGGCGGAAUCAUGCUUGCAUGCACUUAAAAACAAAACAUUAACAAUGAAAUUCAAAGCCUAGUAGAUUAGUGAACCAAGACUCAACUCAAAUCAAAGUGAGUUGAGAAAUUUAUACCUUUGUAGAUUCCUCUUUGCAUAAGCAAGGCUAAUCACCCAAAGAGAGGGCCUUCAUUCCUUGCAUCUAAAAUCUAUGGAUUUGGAUGGAUGAAAAGGUUUCUCCAAGUUCCCAAAAUUGAGAACUUCUAAGUAUCUUCACCAAGGUUAGAUUGGAGAAGAAAUGAGUGACCUUGGAGUAGUUAGUAUG